UAAGACGGAGGGCGCAAGCGUUGUUCGGAAUUACUGGGCGUAAAGCGCGGGCAGGCGGUCUGUUAAGUCGUUUGUGAAAACCCGGGGCUCAACCCCGGGAAUGCAUACGAUACUGGCAGGCUGGAGACUGGUAGAGGCUAGCGGAAUUCCUGGUGUAGCGGUGGAAUGCGUAGAUAUCAGGAAGAACACCUGUGGCGAAGGCGGCUAGCUGGGCCAGUUCUGACGCUCAUCCGCGAAAGCGUGGGGAGCAAACAGGAUUAGAUACCCUGGUAGUCCACGCCGUAAACGAUGGGCACUAGGUGCCGGGUCUCUAGACGGAUUCGGUGCCGCAGUUAACGCACUAAGUGCCCCGCCUGGGGAGUACGGUCGCAAGGCUG
rnacentral:rRNA from 1 species